UACAGAGGGGGCAAGCGUUGUUCGGAAUUACUGGGCGUAAAGGGCGCGUAGGCGGCCUUCUAAGUCGAACGUGAAAUCCCCCGGGCUCAACCCGGGAACUGCGUCCGAUACUGGAAGGCUUGAAUCCGGGAGAGGGAUGCGGAAUUCCAGGUGUAGCGGUGAAAUGCGUAGAUAUCUGGAGGAACACCGGUGGCGAAGGCGGCAUCCUGGACCGGCAUUGACGCUGAGGCGCGAAAGCCAGGGGAGCAAAGCGGG
rnacentral:rRNA from 1 species